UGUUCCAUGCAUUUAUUUCCAAAUUGUUCUGAAUGAUAGGAUAGCCUUAAGGUUUUUGUGUGUGUAUAUGUAUGAAAAAGGCCAUCAGUUGUACUACAAACUGCUACAUUUGUGGUAAAAGAUGCAGUUUCUUUUUGGGGUCACUGCCCCCAAAUAAGAGAUUUAAACAAGAAAAUAUUCACCAAGUAUUCAAAUGGAUAUUGACAAAUCCCAAAAUCCUCAAAGCUUUAACCAAAAAUUAUCUACUAUUGACCUCACCCCAUUCCUAAGAGGUCUGUAAAGGGCAUUCAUAAGAGCACAAGUGUGCCUACCGUUCCUGUCCUAAUGUUCCCUUUCAUUGUAUCCAAUUCAUAUAGUUAUUACAUACUUAUGCUUAUAUAUAUGCUUAUAUAUCAUAAAGUUAUUUCAUGCUUAUGCUUAUAUAUACUGUUGUGACAAAAUAAAUAAAUAAAAUAAAUGGGGUAUGGAGCUAAUAAAUGGCUGGCAGGGUGAACCUAGAUGAAUUUUCAGAUAUAAAAGACAUGCGACUGGAGAAGUGGGUGGGUGGGUAGAAGCUAAUCUCCUUUCCAUACUAACAAAUGAGAUUUCAGAUUUAGCAUGAAAGAGACUUGUGAGAUAUUUCUCUUCCCCCACCCUCCUUUAUGCAUUUAACUAUCAGCCUCUGACUAAAAGAAAUGAUUUAUGUUUUCAGUAGAAGAGUUCAGUCAAAGUCAGGUCACAAGAUAUUCCUGAGGUGGCCUUGUGCAAAUGUAGGAUUCUAACUGAAUCAGCUGAUUCAAAGUAAGUUGUCUUUACCUAUUGAUGUUCCUCUGUUCUUUGGGAUUCAGUGGAUGUAAUGCUGAACUGAAGCCCGCCAAAUAAUAAACAGUAAACAUUUUCUGCCUUGGUUUUCUGCUUUCUGUUCUUGAUAACAUUAAUCGUUAAUAACAGUCUCCUGGUUUCUAGCCUAGUACCUUAACUGUUAGACCAAAGGGGUUCUUGGUGCUCUCUGAGCUAUUUCAUUACCCAAAUUAGGUAACAUCAUCAGCAUUGAUGAUGUUAAGUAGUUUGGGUAAUGAAAUGUCUGCAAGAAAAUAAUCAAGGUGAAAAAGCACCAAGGUAUCCUCACCAAAAGUUCUUUCUUCAAGGGCUGCCUUAAUAUAUUGUUCUCCAGUCCUUCAUUAUGCUCCCUUUCAAACCUAAAAAUAAAACGGCAUUCAUGGUAGCCUUUACUAUUUGUAUGGAAGGUGCUCCAUUUUCUUGAUCAUUAGGUUGUUGUUUCCUGCUUUCUCAGCGCCACACAAUUUCUGUUGAGAUGCCUCAGGACAUCUCUAAGGGCGGUUAUACAACAAAGACAUCAUAAAGUUUGACAAUUUUAUUUUCAAUCGUUUUCCCAAUGAACCUGAACACAGAAUUUGCCUUUUCCACAACUGCUUUACAUUGCAUUAACAUUUUGCUGAGCUGCCACAAUGAUCCCUAAUUAUAUUCUUAAUAAAGCAUUAAACUUGCUUUUAUAAUUAAAAACAAACUCCAAGUUAGAGAGUCCACUAAUACACAAUGUACAUCACCUUAAUAUUAUACUGAAGUUAAUUUCUAUUUUGUUCCCUGAUUUGGAGCAAUUGUCCUGGUGUUUUCAGCCAUUUUUUUUUACUUUCAAUUCAUCAUCUGAAUACUUUGGUAUCGAUAGAAGCUUGUUAACUUCAUGUAGAUCUCAAUUGCAGCAGUCCUGAAUGAGAUGACACAGAAGCCUGUACUAGGUAGAAGGACACAUGUGUCGCAAUUGUUCUGAUGGAUAUGAUGAAGAUGAUGCUUUUCAAGAAGUAAAACCUGUACCUCCUCAUCAUUCUCAUUAAGCCAGUCAUGCUGGUUGUGAGUAGUGGGCACUAGCCUCUUUAGGUGCAGAUGAAUGGACAACAUCCUUAAAGAAUUCCCAGUCAUCCACAGCACUGGCAGCAAGAUGCAGCUGGUUGUUCACACACUUGAAUAGACUAACAAGUUUCCAAACAGGGUGACUCCUAAUGACAAACCCAACUCCAGCAUCAUGACUCUCAUCAUUAUCAUGACUACUCCCCCCCAAAAGUGCAUCCACCUUCAAUUUCAGUCGGCUGACUUUAAAUGGAUUGUCCAAAUGUGGGUGCAUAUGCCAAGUGCCAAUGAUGACCUGCAUUUUUUUCUGUGUUUGUUCAAGUGCCAAGAUGGGACCCUAUCAACCAUGGUAAACUGGCCAGACUGUUGUGAAGGAGGCAGUGUUUAGGACUUUUUAAGGCUUUUCCUCAUACUAUGGAGGUGAACAGUGCAUUCCUAAAAAGGGCUGCUCAGUCACCCAAGUGGACACUGGGUUUAACAGAUUAACAGAAUAACAGAGUUGGAAGGGACCUUGGAGAUCUUUUAGUCCAACCCCAUGCUCCAGAGUUGCACUGCUGUUUCUUCCAGUGAAAAAACGACAACGACCAGAGCUGCCUGCAUACAGAUCCAUGACUGCAUACAGCUCUCAGUGUAUCCAUAUCUAUUGUUUUGUCACUUGUCCAUCACCACAUGACUUUUUUUUAAAAGACUGAUGAUAAUGAUGGUGUUGAUAAAGGUAAAGGUUCCACUCGCACAUAUGUGCUAGUCAUUCCUGACUCUAGGGGACGAUGCUCAUCUCUG